AUGACUGCAAUACCACGAGAUGAGACACAUGAGACCUGGUGCAGCAGUAACACACAGGAGGGAUCCAGCGAAGGUUCUGAAGAAGAUUCCAGCCUGCCACACUGUUGUGCUGUGAGUCCAGUGCUUAGUGGAACCCUGUCGUGGCCCACAGCCAUCAGGAUAUUUCUCCGGGAAAGCCCUUGGACCAAGAAGUCUAGAAUUGUCUGUGAAAACAAAAGCAUUUGGAUUCUUUUCAGGAAAAAUGUAACCUGCAAACAAAUAGCCUUGGAAAAUCAGUGCCUCACCCUCGGUGCCUGGGUCAGGCACAGGGAGUGCCCCCAGCCCGCCCCACCCGCUGCUUUCUAGCUGGAGUCCACCUCCUUUUCCUCUUCUGGUAUGUGGGGCUCUGGCUCCUCUCUGUCUGCCUGGCUGCUAUACUGCUAUUUGUCUGAACCUGAUGUUGUUCUACAAUCCUUCUACAAGGAUCUUCCAAUAAGAUAGGCUCAACCAACCUUGUGAGCCAGACUGGUCUCCCCAGAUCCUGUCUUCACAUUGGCUCCUCACUUCCCCAUUCCUCUCUGUCCCUGCCUUCUAUGUGGUAAUUCCCUUUUAAAAACAAUAAAUAAAAAUGAAAAAGAGAGUGGUGAACACACUGAAUUGUUGAAGCUUUUGUAGUCUGAGCUGUGAAACCUCAGUCUCUGAGUGCAGCUGUGCCCAAGGGUUCCAAUUGAGGAGGCUUCGGAUCAGUAAGCAGAUGCUUCAAAGUGCUCACGUGAAGCUUCCUCCUCCUCUUAGAAAACGCUGCAGGGGUAGGGAUGGGGUGGCCACACCCAACAACCAGCACCAGCCUGAGCCCCAAAGAGACUAGCUUGGGUGCCAUAGCACGGGACAGAGUAUCUUUUGAGUCCUCAUAACAACUCUGAGGGGUAGAUGUUAUUAUCCCCACUGUAUUGCUGAAGAAACUGAGGCUCAGAUGUGUUGAGUCAUUUGCUAAUACAUGCAGGAGCCAGGAUUCAUAAGCAAGGCUUUCUGUUCAAUUCCACUGUCUUCUCAUUGCCUCAUUUUUUGAGCGCAGCUGAGGCUCUGGGGUGAGUGAAGAUCAAAUCCGAGUUUCCGUCCUAUUUUCCCCUCCGGCUCGCUCUCACAGAGUCACUCUGAAGAUGGAAGCAGAAUCAGAACAGAGCUUGUGUAUUUUGUUAUGUCUCACCUCUUUUUCCCAAGAUUUCAAAGGCAUGGGCCCAUUUAUCUAGACACUCAAGUUCUCAACAGGGGCGUUAGCGGCUGGGGAGUGGAAUGCUGUUUGGAAAGGAUGAAACAACACUGGCAGUGUUUAUAUUCAAUUCCGGAGACCUGGUUAGAAAAAUAUUUUUAAAAAAUGGAAGGAAGAGUAACCAUGCACUUACAGAAUGUGGGCUCCUCAUUGCGAGGGACUUUUGCCCUUGGAUUCUAUUCCCAGGAGUAGACGUGUCCAGCCUCACACUGCCGUUAGGAGAUGAAAGGGAAUCUUUCAACAUUUCCUUCUAUUGUUUGUGCUUUCUCUCUGCUUUGUCACCAUCAUAUUCAUUAUUGGAAUUUUGUUAAUGUGCUGUUUCUCCCCUGGAAACAAAAGAGAAGAGCUGUCAAAGCAAAGCAGGAAAGACCUGUGGCUCACUCCUAAGUGAGUAAUUAUCAUGUGUCUUGGAAUGGUUGGCUGCUUCCAGUUGAAGAUGUUUGGGCUUAAAAAGGAAGACACAUAAGCAUCCAGUGAAGUGAAAGAUGGAGGAAUCCACCUGGCUGCGGGAGGUGGCUUAGAGCCCACAGCAAGGCACAGGGAGGGCUGAAUAUGACUCAGGAACUGGAACACCUGAGCUCAAAUCCUGAUUGCACUCUUUACAAGCUGUAUGACCUUGAGCAAGCUACUUACCAUCUCUGAACUGCACCAAGUUCAUCACAUAGACAGGAAUUCUGUCUAUGUGUUGUGUGUUCUUGUGAAAAUGAAACAUGAGAGAAUAUGAAAGUGCCCGGUACAUGGUAGCUUUCAAAUAUGUCUCUUUCCUUCUUUCAUUCUCCUGUUAACAUCCCUUCCACCUGCACAACCUCCAACAUGAAGCUUUCUUUCUUUCUUUCUUUCUUUUUUUUGAGAUAGAGUCUUGCUCUGUGGCCCAGGCUGGAGUGCAGUGGUAUGAUCUUGGCUCACUGCAACCUCCAUGAUAUAGUUAGGCUGUGCCCCCAUUCAAAUCUUAACUUGAAUUGUAUCUCCCAGAAUUCCCAUGUGUUGUGGGAGGGACCCAGUGGGAGGUAACUGAAUCAUGAGAGCUGGUCUUUCCCAUGCUAUUCUCAUGAUAGUGAAUAAGUCUCAUGGAUCUGAUGGGUUUAUCAGGGGUUUCCGCUUUUGCAUCCUUCUCAUUUUCUCUUGCUGCCACCAUGUAAGAAGUGCCUUUUACCUCCCACCAUGAUUCUGAGGCCUUCCCAGCCAUGUGGAACUGUAAGUCCAAUUAAACCUCUUUUUCUUCCCAGUCUCGGCUAUGUCUUUAUUAGCAGCGUGAAAACAGACUAAUACACUCUAUCUCCCAGGUUCAAGUGAUUCUUCUGCCUCAGCUUCCCGAGUAGCUGGGAUUACAAAUGACUGCCACCACACCCAGCUAAUUUUUGUAUUUUUAGUAGAGGCCAGGUUUCACCAUGUUGACCAGGAUGGUCUCAAACUCCUGACCUCAAGUCAUCCAUCCGCUUUGGCUCCCAAAGUGCUGGAUUACAAGCAUGAUCCACUGUGCCUGACCCAACAUGAAGGUUUUGAGAUGGCCAAGUGAAAGAAACAGGAACAGUAUGGACAAGAAACCUCAAGCACUGGCAACUUAAUUUCUCUAAUGAGGAAUUGUAUGUAUGUUUGUAUGUAUUUGUGUUUUGGAGCAAGAAUAUUUCAUUGAGGUUAUCUGUCCACGUGGGUUUUCAACACUGCUGUGACUAUUAAUUAGAGUAUGUAUAAUUAAGCCUACCAUUUAUAAAGCACCUGUUCUAUCCUGGGUAUUGUUGGAAUAUUAUCUUGUUUAAUCCUUACAACCACCUUAUGUAGUAGGAAUUGUCAUGCAAAUUUCCACAUAAGGAAUUAAGGCUCAGAGAAGUGGUCAGUAGUGGAGUUAGGAUUUUAAUUAGGCUUUUUCUGACUCCAAAGCUACUCCUACUACCACUGAAUUUCAAAAGCUCUCGUGAUCUCUAAC
ensembl:lncRNA